UGUGGCCAAGUUUUUAAGGGCGCACGGUGGAUGCCUUGGCACCAGGAACCGAUGAAGGACGUGGGAGGCCACGAUAGGCCCCGGGGAGUCGUCAACCAGGCUUUGAUCCGGGGGUGUCCGAAUGGGGAAACCCGGCAGUCGUCAUGGGCUGUCACCCGCUGCUGAACACAUAGGCAGUGUGGAGGGAACGCGGGGAAGUGAAACAUCUCAGUACCCGCAGGAAGAGAAAACAACCGUGAUUCCGGGAGUAGUGGCGAGCGAAACCGGAUGAGGCCAAACCGUAUACGUGUGAGACCCGGCAGGGGUUGCGUGUGCGGGGUUGUGGGAUCUCUCUUUUACGGUCUGCCGGCCGUGAGACGAGUCAGAAACCGUUGAUGUAGGCGAAGGACAUGCGAAAGGUCCGGCGUAGAGGGUAAGACCCCCGUAGUCGAAACGUCAACGGCUCGUUUGAGAGACACCCAAGUAGCACGGGGCCCGAGAAAUCCCGUGUGAAUCUGGCGGGACCACCCGCUAAGCCUAAAUAUUCCCUGGUGACCGAUAGCGGAUAGUACCGUGAGGGAAUGGUGAAAAGUACCGCGGGAGCGGAGUGAAAUAGUACCUGAAACCGUGUGCCUACAAGCCGUGGGAGCGUCGGACAUCAAGCUUGCUUGGUGUCUCGUGACUGCGUGCCUUUUGAAGAAUGAGCCUGCGAGUUUGCGGUGUGUUGCGAGGUUAACCCGGGUGGGGAAGCCGUAGCGAAAGCGAGUCCGAAUAGGGCGUUUUUAGUAGCACGCUCAAGACCCGAAGCGGAGUGAUCUAGCCAUGGGCAGGUUGAAGCGGCUGUAAGAGGUCGUGGAGGACCGAACCCACCAGGGUUGAAAACCUGGGGGAUGACCUGUGGUUAGGGGUGAAAGGCCAAUCAAACUCCGUGAUAGCUGGUUCUCCCCGAAAUGCAUUUAGGUGCAGCGUCGUGUGUUUCUUGCCGGAGGUAGAGCACUGGAUAGGCGAUGGGCCCUACCGGGUUACUGACCUUAGCCAAACUCCGAAUGCCGGUAAGUGAGAGCGCGGCAGUGAGACUGUGGGGGAUAAGCUCCAUGGUCGAGAGGGAAACAGCCCAGAGCAUCGACUAAGGCCCCUAAGCGUACGCUAAGUGGGAAAGGAUGUGGAGUCGCACAGACAACCAGGAGGUUGGCUUAGAAGCAGCCACCCUUGAAAGAGUGCGUAAUAGCUCACUGGUCUAGUGAUUCCGCGCCGACAAUGUAGCGGGGCUCAAGCGUACCGCCGAAGUCGUGUCAUUGCAGCAAUACGGCCAACGCCGGCUGUGAUGGGUAGGGGAGCGUCGUGUGCCGGGUGAAGCAGCCGCGGAAGCGAGUUGUGGACGGUUCACGAGUGAGAAUGCAGGCAUGAGUAGCGAUACAAACGUGAGAAACGUUUGCGCCGAUUGACUAAGGGUUCCUGGGUCAAGCUGAUCUGCCCAGGGUAAGUCGGGACCUAAGGCGAGGCCGACAGGCGUAGUCGAUGGAUAACCGGUUGAUAUUCCGGUACCCGCUGUGAAGCGUCAAACAUCGAGCAUCGUGAUGCUAAGGCCGUGAAGCCGCCCUGAUCUCUUCGGAGUUGAGGGGAGUGGUGGAGCCGCCGAACCAAGCGGUUAGUAGGUGAGUGAUGGGGUGACGCAGGAAGGUAGUCCAUCCCGGGCGGUGGUUGUCCCGGGGUAAGGGUGUAGGCCGGUGUGUAGGUAAAUCCGCACACCUUGUGGCUGAGACCUGAUGCCGAGCCGAUUGUGGUGAAGUGGAUGAUCCUAUGCUGUCGAGAAAAGCCUCUAGCGAGUUUCAUGGCGGCCCGUACCCUAAACCGACUCAGGUGGUCAGGUAGAGAAUACCGAGGCGUUCGGGUGAACUAUGGUUAAGGAACUCGGCAAAAUGCCCCCGUAACUUCGGGAGAAGGGGGGCCACACCUGGUGACGAGUUUUGCACUCUGAGCUGGGGGUGGCCGCAGAGACCAGCGAGAAGCGACUGUUUACUAAAAACACAGGUCCGUGCGAAGCCGUAAGGCGAUGUAUACGGACUGACGCCUGCCCGGUGCUGGAACGUUAAGGGGACCGGUUAGUCACAUUUCGGUGUGGCGAAGCUGAGAACUUAAGCGCCAGUAAACGGCGGUGGUAACUAUAACCAUCCUAAGGUAGCGAAAUUCCUUGUCGGGUAAGUUCCGACCUGCACGAAUGGCGUAACGACUUCUCGACUGUCUCAACCAUAGGCCCGGUGAAAUUGCACUACGAGUAAAGAUGCUCGUUUCGCGCAGCAGGACGGAAAGACCCCGGGACCUUUACUACAGUUUGAUAUUGGUGUUCGGUUCGGCUUGUGUAGGAUAGCUGGGAGACUUUGAAGCUCGCACGCCAGUGUGGGUGGAGUCGUCGUUGAAAUACCAGUCUGGUCGUGCUGGAUGUCUAACCUGGGUCCGUGAUCCGGAUCAGGGACAGUGUCUGAUGGGUAGUUUAACUGGGGCGGUUGCCUCCUAAAGAGUAACGGAGGCGCCCAAAGGUUCCCUCAGCCUGGUUGGCAAUCAGGUGUUGAGUGUAAGUGCACAAGGGAGCUUGACUGUGAGACCGACGGGUCGAGCAGGGACGAAAGUCGGGACUAGUGAUCCGGCGGUGGCUUGUGGAAGCGCCGUCGCUCAACGGAUAAAAGGUACCCCGGGGAUAACAGGCUGAUCUUCCCCAAGAGUCCAUAUCGACGGGAUGGUUUGGCACCUCGAUGUCGGCUCGUCGCAUCCUGGGGCUGGAGUCGGUCCCAAGGGUUGGGCUGUUCGCCCAUUAAAGCGGUACGCGAGCUGGGUUUAGAACGUCGUGAGACAGUUCGGUCCCUAUCCGCUGUGCGCGUAGGAGUCUUGAGAAGGGCUGUCCCUAGUACGAGAGGACCGGGACGGACGAACCUCUGGUGUGCCAGUUGUCCUGCCAAGGGCAUGGCUGGUUGGCUACGUUCGGGAGGGAUAACCGCUGAAAGCAUCUAAGCGGGAAGCCUGCUUCGAGAUGAGGACUCCCACCCCCUUGAGGGGUUAAGGCUCCCAGUAGACGACUGGGUUGAUAGGCCGGAUCUGGAAGCACCGUGAGGUGUGGAGGUGACCGGUACUAAUAGGCCGAGGGCUUGUCCUC
rnacentral:rRNA from 1 species